rnacentral:tRNA from 1 species
AGCGGCGUAGCUCAGGUGGUAGAGCAAGGGAUUCAUAACCCCUGUGUCACCGGUUCGACUCCGGUCGCCGCUA